CCAAAAAUCAAUUUCCAUAUAAAUGUACCUUGCAUGAUGAUAAUGGCAUCGAGUUAGUCAUUUUUGAAAAUGAUGGCGACACCUCAAAUGAUGAGAUCCGUGAAGUUAAUGAUGGUGACUUCACAUGAUUACGUCCAUGAAACUGCAUCAAACAGUGUUCGAACUCAGCCUACCUUUAGGGGAAUUUGCUUCGUGAUUUCUCAUUUGCUAUUUUUAUAUCUUUUCAUUGUCAAACUCACAAGUGUGAAACAAAUAUCCAUUGAAUUUAAUAGUGCAAAACAUUAAUCUUGUUCGUAAUGAUUGAAUAUGCCUCAAUUCUACUCACUGGUCUAAUUUUCAUCUUCUAUGCAUGGCUGGUUAGAGUAUUUGAGAUGAUAAUAUAAGAUGGUGGUGCAUCUACUUGGUGUCAUAUUCCAUCAAAUGCUAAUUUUGAAUGACAAAACUGAUCAGACACAUCAAAUUCUAUUUGCACUUCACAUGACUUCCAUCCUAUGCUAUAUUAGGAGUUAGGUUAAAGGCAAUUCAUUAAGUUUUAUCCUAGUAAUAACACUGUUAUUUGUAAGAUCCGCUACAUCUUACUAUAAGAUUAAUAAUCUUUUUUUUGGUGUUUACACAUUAGUUAGAAAGGUUAUAGUAAGAUGUAGCGGAUCUUACAAAUGUCAGUGUAAUUACUAGGAUAAAACUUGAUGAAUUGCCUUCAACCUCAUUCCUAAUAUAGCAUAUAAUGGAAGUCAUGUGAAAUGCGAAUAGAAUUUGAUGUGUCUUAAUCACUUUUACCAUGCAAAACUAGCAUUUGAUGAAAUAUCACACCAAAUACAUGCAUCACCAUUUUAUAUUUUCCUAUCGUCUCAAGUCCUUUAGCCAAUCAUGCAUAAAAGAAGAAAACUAAACUAAUAAGUAGAAUUGAGGCAUUCCCAAUCACUACAAACCAGAUAAGUGUUCUUGUACUAAAAACUUUAGUUAAUAUCUUUUUCACAAUUGUGAGUUUGACAAUGAAAAAGUACAAAAAUUGCACAAAAAAUCAUGAAACAAAUUUCCCAAAAAUCAAUUUCCAUAUAAAUGUACCUUACAUGAUGAUAAUGGCAUCGAGUUAGUCAUUUUUGGAGAUAAUGGCGACACCUCAAAUGAUGAGAUCCGUGAAGUUAAUGAUGGCGACUUCACAUGAUUACGUCCACGAAACUGCAUCAAACGGUGUUCGAACUCAGCCUACCUUUUGGGGAAUUUGCUUCGUGAUUUUUCAUUUGCUAUUUUUAUAUCUUUUCACUAUCAAGCUCACAAGUGUGAAACAAAUAUCCAUUGAAGUUAAUAGUGCAAAACAUUUAUUUUGUUCGUAGUGAUUGGAUAUGUCUCAAUUCUACUCACUGAUCUAGUUUUCAUUAACUAUGCAUGACUGGUUAGAGUAUUUGAGAUGAUAGGAAAAUAUAAGAUGGUGGUACAUCUACUUGAUGUGAUAUUCCAUGAAAUGCUAGUUUUGAAUGGCAAAACUGAUCAGACACAUCAAAUUUCAUUUGCACUUCGCAUGACUUCCAUCAUAUGCUAUAUUAGGAAUGAAGUUGAAGACAAUUCAUCAAAUUUUAUCCUAGUAAUGAUACCGAUAUUUGUAAGAUCCGCUACAUCUUACUAUAAGGUUCGCUACAUCUUACUAUAUCCUUUCUAACUAGUGUGUAAACACCAAAUAAAAGAUUAUUAAUCUUAUAGUAAGAUGUAUCGAAUCUUACAAAUGUCGGUAUCAUUACUAAGACAAAAUUUGAUGAAUUGCCUUCAAUCUCAUUUCUAAUAUAGCAUAUGAUGGAAGUCAUGUGAAGUGCGAAUAGAAUUUGAUGUGUCUUGAUCACUUUUACCAUUCAAAAUCAGCAUUUGAUGAAAUAUCACACCAAGUACAUGCACCAUCUUAUAUUUUCCUAUCGUCUCAAGUACUUUAGCCAAUCAUGCAUAGAAGAUGAAAACUAAACCAAUGAGUAGAAUUGAGGCAUCCUCAAUCACUACAAACCAGAUAAGUGUUCUUGUACUAAAAACUUUAGUUAAUAUCUUUUUCACACUUGUGAGUUUGACAAUAAAAAGGUACAAAAAUUAAACAUGAAAAAUCAUGAAACAAAUUUCCCAAAAAUCAAUUUCCAUAUAAAUGUACCUUGCAUGAUGAUAAUGGCAUCGAAUUAGUCAUUUUUGGAGAUGAUGAUGACACCUCAAAUGAUGAGAUCCAUGAAGUUAAUGAUAGUGACUUCACAUGAUUACGUCCAUGAAACUGCAUCAAACAGUGUUCGAACUCGACCUACCUUUUGGGGAAUUUGUUUCGUGAUUUUUCAUUUGCAAUUUUUAUAUCUUUUCAUUGUCAAGCUCACAAGUGUGAAACAAAUAUCCAUUGAAGUUAAUAGAGCAGAACAUUUAUUUUGUUCGUAGUGAUUGGAUAUGUCUCAAUUCUAUUCACUGGUCUAGUUUUCAUCUUCUAUGCAUGGCUGGUUAGAGUAUUUGAGAUGAUAGGAAAAUAUAAGAUGGUGGUGCAUCUACUUGGUGUGAUAUUUCAUGAAAUACUAGUUUUGAAUGGCAAAACUGAUCAGACACAUCAAAUUUCAUUUGCACUUCGCAUGACUUCCAUCAUAUGUUAUAUUAGGAAUGAGGUUGAAGGCAAUUCAUCAAAUUUUAUCCUAGUAAUGAUACCGAUAUUUGUAAGAUCCGCUACAUUUUACUAUAAGGUUCGCUACAUCUUCCUAUAACCUUUCUAACUAGUGUGUAAACACCAAAGAAAAGAUUAUUAAUCUUAUAGUAAGAUGUAGCGGAUCUUAUAAAUGUUGGUAUUAUUACUAAGACAAAAUUUGAUAAAUUGCCUUCAAUCUCAUUCCUAAUAUAGUAUAUGAUAGAAGUCAUGCGAAGUGCGAAUAGAAUUUGAUGUAUCUUGAUCGCUUUUACCAUUCAAAAUCAGCAUUUGAUGAAAUAUCACACCAAGUACAUGCACCACCAUAUUAUAUUUUGGAUAAAACUAUUUGUACAAAAUUUAGUUGAUAAAAUAGUUUACUCACUCUCACAUGCAUGUGGGUCCCCCUUGCAUUAAAAAAUUCGACCAUGUGAUCCCUACUAUUCUAUUGUGAGAGAGUGUAAAACUUUUAGUACAAAUGUGUACGUACAUGUAGCACAAUCCUUAUAUUUUCCUAUCGUCUCAAGUACUUUACACAAUCAUGCAUAGAAGAUAAAAAAUAGACCAAUGAGUAGAAUUGAGGCAUCCUCAAUCACUACAAACCAGAUAAGUGUUCUUGUACUAAAAACUUCAGUUAAUAUCUUUUUCACACUUGUGAGUUUGACAAUAAAAAGGUACAAAAAUUAAACAAGAAAAAUCAUGAAACAAAUUUCCCAAAAAUCAAUUUCCAUAUAAAUGUACCUUGCAUGAUGAUAAUGGCAUCGAGUUAGUCAUUUUUGGAGAUGAUGACGACACCUCAAAUGAUGAGAUCCGUGAAGUUAAUGAUGGUGACUUAACAUGAUUACGUCCAUGAAACUGCAUCAAAUGGUGUUUGAACUCAGCCUACCUUUUGAGGAAUUUAUUUCGUGAUUUUUCAUUUGUAAUUUUUAUAUCUUUUCAUUGUCAAGCUCACAAGUGUGAAACAAAUAUCCAUUGAAGUUAAUAGUGCAGAACAUUUAUUUUGUUCGUAGUGAUUGGAUAUGUCUCAAUUCUAUUCACUGGUCUAGUUUUCAUCUUCUAUGCAUGGUUGGUUAAAGUAUUUGAGAUGAUAGGAAAAUAUAAGAUGGUGGUGAAUAUACUUGGUGUGAUAUUUCAUGAAAUGCUAGUUUUGAAUGGCAAAACUGAUCGGAUACAUCAAAUUCUAUUUGCACUUCGCAUGACUUCCAUCAUAUGCUAUAUUAGGAAUGAGGUUGAAGGCAAUUUAUCAAGUUUUAUCCUAGUAAUGAUACCGACAUUUGUAAGAUCCGCUACAUCUUACUAUAAGGUUCGCUACAUCUUACUAUAACCUUUCUAACUAGUGUGUAAACACCAAAGAAAAGAUUAAUAUCUUACUAUAACCUUUCUAACUAGUUUGUAAACACCAAAGAAAAGAUUAUUAAUCUUAUAGUAAGAUGUAGCGGAUCUUACAAAUGUCGGUGUCAUUACUAAGAUAAAAUUUGAUGAAUUGCCUUCAAUCUCAUUCUUAAUAUAGCAUAUGAUGGAAGUUAUGUGAAAUGCAAAUAGAAUUUGAUGUGUCUUGAUCACUUUUACCAUUCAAAACCAGCAUUUAAUGAAAUAUCACACCAAGUACAUACACCACCAUCUUAUAUUUUCCUAUCGUCUCAAGUACUUUAGUCAAUCAUGCAUAGAAGAUGAAAACUAAACUAAUGAGUAGAAUUGAGGCAUCCCCAAUCACUACAAACCAGAUAAGUGUUCUCGUACUAAAAACUUCAGUUAAUAUCUUUUUCACACUUGUGAGUUUGACAGUGAAAAUGUACAAAAAUUGCACAUGAAAAAUCAUGAAACAAAUUUCCCAAAAAGGAGGUUGAGUUUGAACACCGUUUGAUGCAGUUCACAUACCCAUCUUGUGAAGUGUUCACCAACACCUCACCAUCAUUAAUUUCACGGAUCUCAUCAUUUGAAGUACUGCUAUCAUCUCCAAAAAUGACCAACACGAUGUCAUUAUCAUCAUGCAAGGUACGUCUACAUGAAAAUUGAUUUAUAUCGACACAAAAAGUAUUACAAAAAUUAAAUCUAGUAAUCGAUUCAAUCAGUUAACCGAAAAAUGUAUAUUAUAGACAAGAUAGCUAAGAUCUUUAGAAAUAUA
rnacentral:lncRNA from 1 species